rnacentral:tRNA from 1 species
GCCUGGUUGGCUCAGUUGGUAGAGCAUGUGACUCUUGGUCUCGGGGUCAUGGGUUUGAGCCCCAUGUUGGGGCU